AGGUUUGAUUAUAUAAAUGUUCCUGUUUAAGAGACACACGCCAGGGAAUAAAUCUCUGGGCCCACAGACUCUUUGAGCACAGGCAGCCCCAGCAUUUAACUGGUAACAAAGAGUUGGAGUGGAAGCUUUUUGAUGAAGAGUUGGCAGCAUAUCAGAGGAGCAGCUUGGCCACGAGAUACAGCAAAUCCUCGAGGAAGCCAAACCACCCAACCAGAAUGGGGCAUCUGAGACAUCACCCCAACUUCUGGGCCCCUUUGCAGAGCAGAAGGAUCACCAAUGUGAUUGGAAAAAGAAAUUGCUUGGCAGUACCUUCACACUGUGGCUGCUCACACUUCUGGGACUGAUAGCACCAGUGGCCCACUAAAAAACAAUAAAUAAAACAGGU